rnacentral:rRNA from 1 species
AUGCAUGUAUAAGUAUAAACGCUCUGAAGCGUGAAACCGCGAACGGCUCAUUACAACAGCUAUAAUUUACUUGAUCUUUUGACAUCCUACUUGGAUAACUGUGGUAAUUCUAGAGCUAAUACAUGCAGCAAAGCUCCAACCCGAAAGGGAAGAGCGCAUUUAUUAGAGCAAAACCAUGCGGCUUCGGCCGCUCAAUGUUGACUCAGAAUAACUAAGCUGAUCGCAUGGUCUUGUACCGGCGACGUGUCUUUCAGGUGUCUGCCUUAUCAACUUUCGAUGGUACUGUCAUUGACUACCAUGGUGGUGACGGGUAACGGAGGAUCAGGGUUCGACUCCGGAGAAGGGGCCUGAGAAAUGGCCACUACGUCUAAGGAUGGCAGCAGGCGCGCAAAUUACCCACUCUCAGAACAACUAGAGGAGGUAGUGACGAGAAAUAACGAGACCGUUCUCAACAGAGGCCGGUCAUCGGAAUGGGUACAAUUUAAACCCUUUAACGAGUAUCUAUGAGAGGGCAAGUCUGGUGCCAGCAGCCGCGGUAAUUCCAGCUUUCAAAAUGCAUAGAAUUAUUGCUGCGGUUAAAAAGCUCGUAGUUGGAUCUGUGCUAACAGGCUGGUCCAUCUUCGGAUGUGCACUAGUCCAUGUUGGCUUUUGUGCAGUUUUCGGCUCUGUGCCCCUCACGGGGUGCACUGUCCGUUGCUGCAAGUUUACUUUGAACAAAUCAGAGUGCUCUAAACAGGCGUUUCGCUUGAAUGUUCGUGCAUGGAAUAAUAGAAGAGGAUUUCGGUUCUAUUUUAUUGGUUUUAUAGACUGAGAUAAUGGUUAACAGAGACGAACGGGGGCAUUCGUAUUGCUACG